GUAAUCGCAGAUCAGCAUGCUGCGGUGAAUACGUUCCCGGGCCUUGUACACACCGCCCGUCACACCAUGGGAGUCGGUAACACCCGAAGCCAGUAGCCUAACCGCAAGGAGGGCGCUGUCGAAGGUGGGAUUGAUGACUGGGGUGAAGUCGUAACAAGGUACC
rnacentral:rRNA from 1 species